rnacentral:rRNA from 1 species
CGGCAGCACGGAGAGCUUGCUCUCUGGUGGCGAGUGGCGAACGGGUGAGUAAUAUAUCGGAACGUGUCCAAUAAUGGGGGAUAACGAGUCGAAAGAUUCGCUAAUACCGCAUACGCCCUACGGGGGAAAGCAGGGGAUCGUAAGACCUUGCGUUAAUGGAGCGGCCGAUAUCUGAUUAGCUUGUUGGUGAGGUAAAGGCUCACCAAGGCGACGAUCAGUAGCUGGUUUGAGAGAACGACCAGCCACACUGGAACUGAGACACGGUCCAGACUCCUACGGGAGGCAGCAGUGGGGAAUUUUGGACAAUGGGGGCAACCCUGAUCCAGCCAUUCCGCGUGAGUGAAGAAGGCCUUCGGGUUGUAAAGCUCUUUCGCAAGGGAAGAAAACUUAUGAUCGAAUAAAUCAUGAG